GAUGAACCCUGUUCAUAAGAAAAUCCCUGUUCUUAUCCAUAACGGUAAACCUGUUUGUGAGUCGCUCAUUCAGGUUCAGUACAUCGACGAGGUAUGGCAUGACAAAGCUCCUUUGCUCCCUUCUGACCCUUACCAAAAAGCUACUGCUAGAUUCUGGGCUGAUUAUGUUGACAAGAAGGUACGUUCUUUUUCUUUUUUUUUUUGUUCUUUUGGAACUGUAUACAUAAAUAGGAGAGGAAAGUAUUGUGCCUGAAAUAAUGUUAAAUGCAAUGCAGAUAUAUGAAGUGGGGGGCAGAGUAUGGAAGACAAAGGGAGAAAAGCAAGCAACAGCAAAGAAAGAAUUGAUAGAAACCCUGAAGCUGUUGGAAAAGGAGCUUGGGGACAAGCCUUACUUUGGAGGAGAAAGUCUUGGAUAUGUGGAUGUUGCAUUCAUUCCGUUUUAUAGCUGGUUUUAUGCUUUGGAGAAGUGUGGGAACUUCAGCAUUGAAGCAGAGUGUCCCAAACUGAUAGCAUGGGCUAAAAGGUGCAUGCAAAAGGAGAGUGUAGCCAAGUCCCUUCCUGACCAACAAAAAGUCUAUGAUUUUAUCCUGGAGAUGAAGAAACAUUUUGGAAUUGAGUAAUUCCAGCCUUUGUUUAUGAUUUUAAAUAAAAUGGGGACAUUUAUGUUGUGCCUGCCCUGUUCUCAGGUCUUCUAUUUUUCCUCUUUCAAUCGAUCAGAUGGUUUGGGAUUUGUCAUUUGCAGUAUGGAGUUUUUAAAUUAAAAGUAAUCAGUCCUAUACACGUGCUUACUCAUAUCUUAUUUCAACCGUAUUAGUUUUCUUAUAAUAAAAAGAGUGUGACAAAAUAGAUUCAAUCACUCAAUUUUUUCUGUUACAAUAACGAAAAGUUGACCAGUUAUUUAACUGGCAUAAAUAUAUAUUCAAUUGUUUUUUACUAAAAUAUUUUUUUUUUAUAAUUAGUGUAAGUUAUUGGUAAAAGAUAAAUAAAAUGUUUCUAAAAUUUGUAUUUAUUUAUUUUUUUGUGAAAACCUGAUGUAAUUAAAUUGGUUUUAUAAAUGCAUAAAAUAAUAAUGUUAUUUUAAGUUUUAAAAUAAGUAAUUUGUAUAUUGUAAGUGUUGAAUAAUACUUUUGUUUUGCUGAAGUUAUAUCGUAAUUUUAGAUAUGGUAUUUUAAUUUAUUAUUAUUAUUUUAUCAUAUUUACUAAAAAAUACGAAAGCAUAAAACUACAUGGUUUAGAUUAUAUAUUUUAUACUUUUAAUAUUAAGAAUGGUUCAUAAAAAUGUUGAAUCUAUAAACUUGUUAUCUACUCAACAUAAUUUUUUUUUAUUUGAUGAAGAUAUAUUUCUCUUUAAUUUAAUAUUAUAAGUGGCUUAAUAAUGUUUUUUUUUCGGUAGAAUUAUAUCUAAAAUAAUUUUUAAUAUGAUUUAAUUAAUAUUAUUAAAAAUAAUUAUAUUAAUAAUAUUUUAUCAUAUUAAUUGAAAAAGAAGUGAGAGUAGAAAACUACAUGCACAAUUAGAUUUUAGGUGUUAUACUUUUAAUAUCCAUAAUAAUAUUAUUUUUAAAAAAUAUUCACGAAUUGAUGUACUUUUUUUAUUCAAUGAGAUAUUUAUUUGAUGAUUUUUUUAAUGUUAUAGGAUUAUUUUUAUGAAAGUUUAUGUUAAUAUUAUUGAUACAAUAAUUAUAAUUAUUUUUAAAUUUUAUUUUUAAAUUUUAUUUAUUUUAUUUUAUUUUAUUGAAAAAGAAACUUGAAAUUAAAAAUAUUCAUUAAAAAUGAAAUCAAAUGAUUGAUAUUUGGUACACUAGUAGUGUAACUUUUUACUAUUCCACAAACAGUUUUAAAGAAUAUCAUGUCUUUGUUUCUUUAAAUAUUUAUUUUUAAUAUUUUAUUAUAUAUUUAUAAGACAUUUGUCAAACCAUUAACAUUACUUAUAGAAUUUAAAAACUCCAACAAUAAUGUAUCAAAUAUUUUUUCGAAAUCAAAAUGACAAAUGAAAUAAGCUAGUUGACAUUUUAUUGAGAAAAAAAAAUUGAAAUUAAUUUUUUUUAAAUUUAUCAAACUAUACUUUUAUCUUUUAUGUUAAAUAUAUUUAAUAAUUUUAUGUAAUUAAAAUUUUAAUAAUUAAUAAUAUAUUUAAAGAAAUAAUGAAAAAAGUCCUCAAACUUUUUUAAGAAAAGCAAUUAAGCCUUUAUUCUUUUUUUUUUUGCGCUCAAUUGAGUAUUUGAACUGCCAAAACUCAGUAAAAUAGCCCCUUGACCGACUUUGACCAUUAAUUUUUAAUGGUCAAGAUGAUAUGGCUAUUAAGUUUGACUUUUUUGUUUCAUUUUUGCAAACUAAGACGCUACCUCGAAUGCCACGUGUACUAUUGAUGACAUCAUCAUUUUUUGUUCCUGAUGUGGCUUUUUUAUUUGUUAUUAUAACUAAAUUAAUUUAAUUAAUUUUAUGUACAAUUUUUAUAAUGAGUUGAAAAAAAAAUAGAAAUCCUAAUCCUUAAACUUAAUUGUCACAUUUAAUUUUUGAAGAGAAAAAACAAGAAACAAAAAAUCACCAAAUAAUAAACUCUCUUGAUCAUCACAAAUGUUGGAAGAAAUUUUGUUUUCCAUUUGAAUCAUUAUUGAAAUCUCAUUUGCCAAGAACCUUUAGUUUUUUUUUUCCAGUUGAAAUCUCAUAUUGGAAAUCAAAAUCCUUUUACUGAAUAAAAAGUCCCUUUGCUAAAUCCUUAAAUCUUUAACAAUAUAUUGCUAAAUCGAAAACCCCUUAGCUAAUCAAAAACCAUAUUCUCCAAGAACAUUUGUUCAAUUGCAAACCCUAAUAAAAAAAAACCCUUAUCUUACUCGAAACCCAAAUCAGACAACCUUGUUUUAAAAGGCUAAAAGGUUUCCUUGAAUUUAAGAACCAAAAAGCUCAAUUUCAGUGCUUUAAAGGCUAAUUGAGACGUUAAAUAGGUAAGUUUUUGUGAAAUUUCUAGAUUGAGUUUUUUAUUUGGGUUUUUGACUAGUUUCUUUAUAAUAAGAAAAUAACUUUUUCUUGACAUGUUUUCUAAAUUGAAAAAGGAAGGGGCUUAUUGUAAAAAUUUUGACGAAAGGCUCAUGUUUUGGGUGGCUAGGUAUGCAACAAUAAUUAGAUCCAAUUUGUAAUUUUGUAUUGGAAUCUAUUUGGUGCAAUAGAAUAGUAUAUAGUAAAAAAACAAUUUAUUUGAGUGCAUAUGUCAGGAUCUAGAUUCUCUUUCAUAAACAACAAUAACCCCCAUUUUUCUUGUUAUUGUUCGGUUUUAUUAUAUAGUUAUCUUUUGUGUAUGUCUGUCAAAAAAAUUAAAUACUAACAAUAAACAUAACAAUGAUUUUGUCUUUUGUGUAUGUCUGUUAAAUAUAAUUUAUCUUGUUUAUUGUUUAUUUAUUGGUAUUUACUAUAAUAUAUUUGUUAGAAUGCUAUGUGAAUACAAUCUGAAUGUUUGUUUGUAUGACAUCAUUUAUUAUUUAUGUAUGUGAUGUCUAUGAAAUUAAUUGAAAAUUCGAGUAAGGCAAGUGCACUUAUCAAUUAAUAGUAUAGUUACAGUGAGCAAAUAUAUCGUUCCCACGAAGACUAAAAGUACUAGUAAUUACCGUCUUUAUAUUAUUUAACCGAAUAAUUCGAGUGAUUAAUUAAAAACUAAAAUUAACUAAAUUAAUUAACUAACAAAUGCGACAAAGAAAACAUCCAAUAGAUAUAACCGAAAGAAAUAAAGAAACUUAUGAUAAUCUCCAAAAAAUAACCGGGAAUCUUAUAUAUUGACGAAAAUAUGCUUCAGAAUCAGCUUCAAUGAUAUUUUUUCAAGUUGUUUUCUUGAAUAUUCUAUGAUGGCUCUCUCCCAUUGUCUUAUUUUUGUCAUAUAUACAUCUUAGAAUGCGCGAAAAACCUAAAAAUCAUAAUUUUCCAUUGUUCAACGUGCUAAUGUACGCAAUCUACAUGGCCGUGUGGAAUGGGUCAACCCAUGUGGCUCCUGUAGUUUAUUUCGAUUUUCUAGUUUUCGCUCGUUUUUCACUCAUUUUACUCCCAAGUGCUCUAUUAAGCAUCAAAACAUGAAUUUAAAUGAUUAAGAGCAUAAAAUUCACAAUUAACAUCAAAUAAUCACCCAAAAACGCAUUAAGAAAAAGAUUAAAACAUGUUACUUUUAACAUUUAUUAAAUAUCCCCACAGUUACGCGUUUGCUUGUCCUUAAGCAAAAUUCUCAAUCCAAAUUCAAGUUAACCACACUCAAUUUAUUGUUUUCACCAACAAUGUAUUAGGAUAAUCUACAGAUAACCAUGCAUUGAAAAUUCACACUAAAAUAAUACUAAAGAAUACAAGCAAUAAGCAGAGUUUUUUAAGGCUUAAAAACAUGAGGCAUCUCCCCUAUCUCAAUAAUUACCUGGAAUUCAAACUCAAGAAUAAAUAAUACCAACACUAAAGAUUCACUCAAAGCACACAAAAGUGUUUAAGUUUCAAGUAAUAUGCACUCAAUAGUCGAACAAGAAAUGUUAUUACCAUAAGCUUACUUGAAAAUUAAAUCUCCAGCACUAUAUAAAUGAGAUGACACACCAAUCAAGAGGUCGUUACAAGGUUGUAAUGGGGUUAGGUUUAGAGUAUGGAUAUGGUUAGAAAGGUUGGUUACAAUCGAGAAUCGAGUUGAUAAGUUACCAAACUAGAAAAGAAAUUCAAUUGCUGAAUUAUAAGAAUUUACAUCAACAAGAAGUAAAGAGAAUAAAUGAGCUUUUACACAAAAUAUGAGAUUAACGAUUCAAGCUCAAUUUUUUUUAUUUUCAUUUUUUCUUUUCACUUUUUUUAGAACAAAAUAAAUUUCAGCAAUUCAAAUGAUGAAACAUAGUUAGGCAACUGACCAAAUCAAAUUUCGACAAAAAGGGAGUUAGUAAAAAUGAUAAUUUUACAACAUAUAUAUGGGUUAGGGGUUAACAUAAAUGGGUGAGAAAAAAAUGUAUUAGGAUCAAUGGGGUUUACUAGGGGCUAAUUUAACAAGUAAACUAGUUAAAUGUUAGGUGGGUUAAAUCCUAAGUGCCUUAAUCAUCUCAGUAUAUCAAAUCAAUAAUAAGGUCUCGACAUGUAUAACCAAAGCAAGUUGUAGAAUAAUAAAUCAAGUUGAAAUAAUCACAACCAGAAAUAAAAUGAGCACAAAAUAGAAUAUAUGCUCUAAAGCUCAAAAGCUCACAAAAAAAUUAUGGUUUUGAUGUCAAAUUUGUAAAUUUAAAAUUUCAAGAUAAUGCUUCAGUUCAGGGAGGCAACCUAAAAUAAUAAUUUCUGAAAAACUACUUAUCAAGCUUAAUUCUCUCAUGUCUUAAAGUAUAAAUCACACAAUGCACAAAAAUACAUAAAUUAAUCCCAAAACAGAAUCGGUAAAACUCCAAAUUUAGAAAAAUCAACUCUAAUGGUAGGUGUGAGAAAAUUACUUAAACCUAAACAACAAUUGAUGGAUUAUAUCACAUAACAUAUAAAAUCCUCCCCACAAUUAAUAUGUACAUUGCCCUAAAUGUACAAACAAAUAUAAUCACAGAAUAAGCACAAUAUUAUAAGGGAGGGAGAGAACUAAAACAACCCUGAAUUUGGAUGAUUUCAUUAGAAUAGUGAAUUUUGGAAUCGUAGGAGAUUCUAAAUGAAGUACAUGUUCCGUGCACACUAAUAAGAAUAUAGAAAAAAAUAAGAUAAAGAGAUAACAAAAUAGAAAAAUAACCGACAAAAUAAUAAAAAAUAAAGUUUAGAAUAAAAACAAAACAAAACAUAUAAGUAUCAAAAAUAAAAUAAAAACAACUAAAAUAAUAACAGUACAACUAAAAAUAAAAAUAAAUAAAACUGAAAAUUAAAUAAAGUCAAUGAUCAACAUCGUGCAAUGUGUCAAAGUCACGAGGCUCAGAAUCGAGUGGAGAAAUAUGGAAAUGCUGGCACAUCUGUUGUAGGUAUGCUUUAAGGUGAUCCUGAUGGCUUUGAAGCUGGCCGAAUUGCUCCAAAUGUAAUUGCUCAAGGUGAUCUAUUCGCUCUGUUUAUCACUGCUUAAGGUGGUCAACCCAAUUAGAGUGUUGUUGUUGUAUACGAUAGAUGUCGUCAAGUGUGACUGAAUGUGCAGCAGUGGAAUGACUAGGAGGAGGAGAAGAUUGAGUAGGGUCCAUAAGUCAAAGAGGACCAUUAUCCAUGAUCUCUUCAUGUUCAUCCUGAGGGUCCCGAUGAAACAGUGUAUAUCGUUGGAGACCUGCUCUAUGUUGACAUUAUUUCAUCCUCACGUGCCUCAUAAUAGAUAAUCCUUGCGGGAUCAUCUAACCAACUAAGGUGAAUGAGGAAGUCUGCUCCAGAAAGUCAAGCAACCCAAAAUAUCUCGCCAGUGGAGUCAAAUAAGGACGCAUACAGAUACGACCCUUCUUGCUCUGAUUGGACUAGUGCCGACAACAUAAAGCCACGAAGUAGGUGACAUCAAUAGGAUGACGCAUCUCCAUACUCUACAGAAAAUAAGCCUUCGAUGUACUAACGACCUUUGUGUUUUCCCUCUGACCACUCAAUGUAUGGGUCUGGAUGACAUGAAUAUAGCACAAGGCUAGAGGUAAACAAGUUGCCUUUGACUAGCUAAGGUUGUACAAUGCCUCAGCCUCGGCGAUCUUAGACCAACAGAGUGGAGUUGGUCGAUUGAUGUGUUUGGGCAGUGCUAGAAACUUAGGGUUAUGCAUGAACUCCUUGAAAUAAAGUCCAAGAGCGGCUCCGAAGCCUGGGAUGCUUAAGUAACGUGUCUUACCCUCAAGUUUGAAAGAAAUGGUACAAGGCUCAUCCUAAUAUGAAAUUGUUAGUUGUAGAAAGAACGUCAAGCAGAAAUCUAUUAUGAGUUCUACAUAUGUGGGCUCUACAAUGGUCAAAAAUCAAUCCCACGAUGUUGUGUCAAUCAGAACUCGAAGUCUGGCAGCUAAAUGAACUGCAUACAAGGCUUUCUAAUUAAUGCAACAACCUAAUCCCAAAGGUGGCUCCCUAAGAUGUUGAUAAUUGUCCUCAUGUGGACCUAGAGGAAAUUAGAGACACGAAUGUCUCGUGGCUAUAGUCUGGGCUGAAGACGAAGUGGCACUUGGUGUCUUUCAUUGUUUAGAGACGAGGGCAGCAGCCUUGGUUUUACCUCUAGUGUUUGUCUUUAUGUAUCUAAAAGAAAAGAUAACAACCAAAUAUCAUAUAACCAAAAAAAUCAACACCACCACUAAUUUAGCAGAUGAAAAAAGUCAAAUUACAUAACCAGAAGAAUCGACAAAAAUAUCAUCUCAUGACAAAAGUCGGAUCACAUAACUAAUAUAACUAACAUCUAUUCCUCAUACGAAAACUAAAACUAAUACUUAGCAGACAAAAAAAUAACUAAACUAAACUAAUUAUUUAACACUAAUACUAUGAAUAUUAAUACUACUACUAAUAAUAAAAUAAUAAAUAAAAUAAAAAGAAGAUGAAUAGUGACAACCAGUGGUUUAGGGCAGACGGUGGCGGCAGUAGCUCGUACGAUAGUAGUAGGAAGAAUGAUAGAUAGUGAGAAAUGGGUAGAUCAGAUGGUUGUGGAUGUGGUGAUGGAGUGAGAACAGUGGUCGGUUAGGAGGGAUGAGAGACGGAGGACGAAAAGAAAGGGGGAAAUAGGGACGGCAACGUGGAGAGAAAGAAUGGGAAAAAGGGGAAGAAAAAGAGGGAUCUGACAAGUUUGUGAAGGAAAAUAGAAGGUUAAGUGAGUAAGAAAGGAGAAGGGUUGGGGAAGAAGGGUUGAGGAGCCUAGAAAAGGGGGUGUCUGUAGUGUUCGAGUUUUCAGCGAGAAAAAUUUAAGGAAAGGACGUGGAUGAAGAGAGCUUGAUGGUGUUGAUAGUAGGGCUUGGAAGUGAAUGGAUGAGCUAUGGAGGUGACGUGGAUGACGGUUAUGAGGGGAAGAAAUCGGUGGUGAUGGAACGGCUGGUAAGGUUGAAUGGAGUUGGUGAAACAGCGUGGAAGGAGAGAGGACAAAAAAUUAAGGUUUUUAGAUUUUAAAGGUAGGCACGGUCAUGUAUUUGGCCUGUGUUGGGCCACACGGUCAUGUACCAAAGCCGUGUAAGUCUACAAAACCCAUGUGUCAAUCGAAUUCUUUAAAAAAGUACUCACACAUCUUGGAACAUGCCUGUAUGUCAAGGCCGUGUGGUCUAUUCCAAAUCAUGUGAUGCUUUCAUUCGUUUCUCCCACGGCCGUGUACAUGGGCGUGUGGGUCACAUAAUCGUGUCACCAGGCUGUGUUUGCCACGAAUUUUUUUAAAAAAAUUACUUUAAUAGUCACACUACUGUGUCUCCAGGCCGUGUGCAAUCACUCAGGCCUUGUGGGGUCAUUGUUCGCUUCUCCCACAUCCAUACCAAGGGGUGUGUGGGUCACACAGCUGUGUCUUUAGGCCUUGUAACCCUCUAUGACCCUGUGUGUUAAAAGAAAAUUGAAUAAAUUGGCUCCAAUAUUCACAUGGCUUGUGACACACUCGUGUAUCUAGGUUGUGUAUCCUAUACAACCGUGUCGUCAGGUCGUAUAGUGUUUCUUAGACUGUGUGGACCAUUUUUUAAAAAAAUAUCAUUUUUGAAUAUUUUUUAUUUUUUUUAAAUCAACAUUUGGGUUGUCUCUCAAGUAGCGCUUAUUUAGAGUCUAAGCUCGACUUUCCCCUUCAUAAAUACGAUGAACUCAAAUUUUUGAGCCGAAACUCCUUUAUCUCAUUAUCAAUAUUACCACCAAAAUAAAAUUCGAGUCGAUGACUAUUUACCUUAAAUGUAUCAUAAUCAGGGUGUAUUACUUAAAUAGUUUUGUAUGGGAAGACGUUCUAUAACUCAAAUGGAUUCGACCAUCUUGAUUUGAGCUGUUCAGGGAACUUUCUUAGAUCAAAAUUGUUUAGUAGCACUUUGUCUCCAACUUUGAGUUGGUUUGUCCUCUUUGAAUGCUCACCAAGGCAUUGUUUUGUUACUUCUUUAAACGUUCUUGGUUUCUCAUAAACCUUUGGUCGUCAUUCAUCUAAUUUAUCAAGCUGCACCAUUUGUUCUUCACUUGUCCCUUGAUUUUCAUCACAUUGAACAAGAUACGAUUCUAACAUGUUUUCAUGAGUGAUUUCCUACAAAGAAUGUUGAGUCACACGGUUACUAACAUUAUCAGAAUAAUGACUAUCAUAUUGCUCGCUAGAAACUCUCACAAAAUCACGUGCUUGAAAAGUAACCUCUUCAUCACCUACCUUCAACACAAGUUUACCAUUACCCACAUCAAUAACAGUUCUAAAAGUCGUUAAAAAGGGUCGGCUUAAGAUCAUGGGUACCUUAAUAUCCACAUCUAUGUCCAAUAUAACAAAUUAACAGGGAAUAUAAAUUUAUCGACUUUAACAAUUACAUAUUCAAUAAUGCCCUUAGGAUAUUUAAUUGAUUUGUCAACUAAUUGAAUACUUAUCUUAAUGGUUUUUGGUUCCUUGAGACCAAGUUGUUUGAACAUUUUAUAAGGCAUCAAAUUUAUACUAGCACCCAAAUAAGCCAAAGCUUUUUUAACAUUUAAGCUACCAAUAAAACAAGUGACAAUAAAACUCUUUGGAUCUUUAAGCAUGGUAGGUAGUUUGUUUUGGAGAAUAGUCGAACACUCCUCAUUGAGCUCCACGGUGGACAGUUCAUCUAACUUCAUUUUAUUUGUUAACAACGCCUUUAAAAAUUUUGUAUACUUGGGCACCUGCGAAAGGGCUUCAAUAAAAGGUAAGUUAAUAUGCAAUUUUUUUUAAAAAAUUUCAAGAAAUUUACCAUAUUGUUUGUUCAUGCAGUGUUUAUUCACUUUUAUCGGAUAUAUAAUUGAUGGUUUGUGUUCUCUGAUCACUAGUUUAUGCUAUUUCUUGCAUUCUUCAACCCCAUAUUUUUCUCAACAGCUUCUAGAUUCAACUUGUUUUCAGGCUCAACUAACACAUUUCCACUUCGUAUAGAGAUUGCAUGGACUUGUUUUUUUAUGUUGAUUUCAGUGUUACUAAGUAAAUUUCCUUAUUGUCUCUCCGAAACCAAUUUAGCAAGCUGAAAAUAUGAUUCUCGAGUCCUUGAAUAGAUGUAUGCUGAUUUCUCAAAGUUGUUUCAGUGUUUUGGAAUCUAGUUUCUGACACUGAAAUAAAUUUCAUUAACAUCUCUUCCAGAUUUGACUUUUUUUCUUACUGAUAAGGUUGUUGAAAACCUGGAAGGAGUUGUAACAUUUGAUUUCCUUGACCACCCCAAGAGAAAUUCGGAAGAUUCCUCCAUCCUAGAUUAUAAUUAUUGUUAUAGGGGUUAUUCUAAGGUCUAAAAUUGUUACCCAUAAAGUCGACUCGCUCAUGCUUCAUGUUAGAACAGAAGGGUAAACAUUCUGAAUUAAUCAUCCCUGAUUUAGUCGCAUCAUAUUGCAAUACUGAAUUCAUUUGCUUAGCCAUAUUCAAACCAUCAAUUUUCUGACUCAAAGCUUCUACUUGACUUGCUAACAUAGCAACUGCAUCUAUAUUAAAAACACCAGUUGCCUUAGUAGACUCUGUUAUCAUAACUUGCCUCUGAUAGUUAUUCAGUGUCAUCUCCUCAAUAAAUUCUUGUGCUGCCUCAGGUGUCUUAUUAUUCAGUGUUCCACUAGCUGCUAUAUCAAUCAUCUGCCUAGUCGAAGGGUUCAAACCAUUGUAAAAAGUUUGAACUUGGAGCCACAAAGGUAGUCCAUAAUGAGGACACCUUCUCAGAAGAUCCUUAAAUCUCUCUCAUGCAUCAUGCAAUAUCUCAAGCUUAAAUUGAGCAAAAGAAGAGAUGUCAUUCCUUAAGUUAGUUGUUUUGGCCAAUGGAAAAUACCUCCACAGAAACUUUUCAGUCAUUUGAUCCAAAGUCGUGAUGGAACCCCGUAUAAGUGAAUUCAAUCACUAUUUUGCCUUGCUACACAAGGAGAAUGGGAACAACCAUAAAAGUAUGGCAUCAUCAGUAACAUCAUUGAUCUUGAAUAUGUCGCGGAUCUCUAGAAAGUUAGCUAAAUGAGCAUUUGGAUCUUCAUCUUGCAACCCAUCAAUCUGAACAUAUUGUUGCACCAUCUGAAAAUUGUGUUUGGCUUAAUCUCAAAAUUGUUUACAGUAAUAGUCGAUCUAACGAUACUUGAUUCAGCCCUAAUCAGAGUAGGCUUAAGAUAGUCAUACAUAGUACGAGGAGCAGGAGGUGUAGGAGGUUGCUGAUUACCACGAUGAUUAUCCAUCUCCACAAUAAUGUCCUUUUGCUCUUAAUUGUCUAUUAAAAUCUAUUGACUUUGCCUUGCUUCUCUAACUUCUAUAUGAUUUCUGCGAGCAGGUUUUUCGAUCUCACUGUAAAAAACUAAUAGUUCCAACGAGUUGUCUCUAGUCAUAAACCAAAAGAACAUGUAAGAAUUAAACAAAAUAAAAAUUAAAAUGUAACAAUUAAAUUAAAAACAAAAUUAUUAAAAUUAAAAUAACAAAUGCAUAAAUUAAUAGAAAGAAAGUUUUCCUAAUAUUCCAGUCCCGGCAACGGUGCAAAAAACUUGAUGUCCAUGAAAGUAAUUAAAAAUUCGAAUAGGGCAAGUGCACCUAUCAAUUAAUAGUAUAGCUAUGAUAAGCAAAGAUAUCGUUCCCACGAAGACUAAAAGUACUAGUAAUUACCGUAUUUCUAUUAUUUAACUGAAUAAUUCGAGUGAUUGAUUAAAAACUAAAAUUAACUAAAUUAAUUAACUAACAAACACAAUAAAGAGAAAAACACGAAAAUAAUCGAUUAACAACCAAUAAGCGAAAUAAUACCCAGGAAAGAAUUCUCCUAGAUUUUAUCUGUCACUAUCAAUCUAAAUUACGCAAUUUCUUUACUUAGUAACUUAAUUUGUAGAAAUCCCUAAAUUAUGCAAAUAUCUCUUUCGAGAAUGAGAGCAAAUGUUCUAGGUUGAUUAAUUGAAAUUUCUUUCAAAUUAAAAAUCAUAUUAUCGCAUUAACUUGUGUUAUGGAUUCCCCUAUCAGAUUUGACUCUAAUUCGGUAGAUUUAUGUAAUCCUAUAUAUAGGACUGCAUGCAACUCCACUUAAUUACGCAAGAUCUACUCUUAAAUAGGGCCUAUUCAACCUUCGAUUUAGCACAUCAAACAUUAAUAAAAAAUAGAAAUAUCAAACCAAGAAUUAAGCACAUAUAAUUGAGAAUAAAAAACUAAGCAUCUAUUUCGUAAAUAAAAAUCAAACGACCGAAUCCAUCAUAGGUUUCAUCUCUUUAGGUAUUUAAAAAAUUAGUUCAUGCUUGAAAAUAAAAAUAUCGCAAAGAUAAUAUAACCGAAAGAAAUAAAGAAACUUGUGAUAAUCUGCUAAGAAAUCAAUUGAGAAUCUUCAAUUUUGACAAAAUUCUGCUUUAGAAUCAGCUUCAAUGAUGUUUUUUCAAGUUGUUUUCUUGAAUAUUCUAUGAUAGCUCUCUCCCAUUUUCUUAUUUUUGUCAUAUAUAGGUUUUAUAAUGCCCGAAAAACCUAAAAAUCUUGAUUUUUCGCUGUUCAGAGUGCAAAUUUACGCAAUCGACACAACCAUCGCAUGGCCGUGUGGGUCACACAACUAUCUAGAAGCCUAUGUUUCACCAUGGUACAACAAGGAGCAAUAUGUAGCAACAUACAGUCAAGUUUUACAAUCAGUUAUGGGGAAAUUUUUUUAGCUUAACAGAGCUUAUUUAAUUCUUCCUCCAUCUGUAAAAAAGAUUCUUGAAAGGCCUAAGAAAAAUAGAAGGAAAUCUAAGGAUGAACCAAAAAAGAGCAAGUUUGGAAAGGACACUAGGAGAGGCCUUAAAAUGUCAUGUUCAUUGUGUAAACAAGUAGGACACAACAAGAAAUUGUGUCCAACAAGAUCAAAUAUGAGUAAGAAUUUACAAGUAAUUCGUGGACCACUUUAUUUGAGAUAAGCUUUUCUUUAUAUUCAUAUUUGUUUAACCAAUAAAUACAUUAUAAUGAAUGUCUUAAUUUCUUUCUAGGAACAAAAUUCGAAUGUUGGUUCAUCCUCCAUGCAAGUACAACAACCUUAAUUAGAAGCUACUAUACCACAGGUAAAAGAUACAUUAAUGUAGUAUGGUGUAAUAUCUACUUGGUUGACUAUUUGAGAAUUUUAAUUUUUUAGUUUUGAUAAUUGCUCAUAAUUUUUGUUCUCUGUUGGUAGAUUCAACCAUUUCAAUAGGCAAUUUGGGUAGUCUAAUUUCUUCUUUGUCAUUUUGUUUAAAUAAUUUAGUUUAAAGAAUUAUAUAGGAUUUUAGAAAUAUCAUUUGGUUCAAGAUAAAUAGAUUGAGAAAUCAACUCUAUUUCUUGUUGUACUUUGUCAUUUCUAAUCAUAUUUAGCAUACAAUGUGCUACCUUGUCAAUUAGCUUGAUUUCUUUUUUGUUUCAAGUCAUAACUAUUUUUUUUUAUAGUUUGUUGUCAAAAGUCCAAGAACUCACAACAUGGAAGGAAAAGAAAAAGAAUCAUGUGUAUCAGUUUCUCAAUGCAUCACCAAUGCAGAAGGCACAAAAGAAGAAGAAGAAAACAACCACUUAGUAUUGGGGUGUACACAAACCUCAAAAUUGGUGAACAAAUACCACAUGUGAGUAUAUGUAACUAUUCUAAAUAUUGAUUUUGUUGCCUGUUGACUAAGUAAUUUAUAUCUAUUGAUUUAAUUGUUUUCCAUUUUCCCUAAAGCUUGGUACAAGUAGUGAAAGAACCACUACUAUUGUAAGGAAGAUUGGACAAUCUAAUACUUCCCAAUAUCAACAUUCAUGGAAAGGCCCUAGAUUGAAGUGGAAGGGGAAAAAGGUCGUGACAACAAGGCAAAUUAUGCAACAACACUUUGAUGUUGUCUGAAAGAAGAGGGGAAAUCCUUCUAAACAAGUGCAAAUAAGGACACAAGCAAGCCAAACAAAUUCUAUUAUAAUAGAUUAUUGAAGUGCAAACUGAUGCUAGCGUAAUUUUAGUUUCUCUAAUAGUAUAGCUUAUGGUUGACAAGGGACAAGAUUGGUACAUUUUAUUCAUAUGGGAACCGUUUGUUGAUAAGGGAACAUCUUGUUUAUAUUGGAACAUUUUGUUGAUAAGAUGCAUUUUGAGGAUAUUGCAUAUUCAAAUAUGCUUUUUAUGUAAUUUUUGACGUUUUGUUUCUUUAUUGUUUGUCAUUGAAUUAUGGUUUAAUUAAUAUUUAAAAUUGAUAUGGAAUUACAAUUAAAUAUUGUUUGCAUUUGAAGAUGGAAUCUUGCAGUUUUGAGGUUAGAGUUGCUAUUUUUUUUUUCUCUUUGGUUCAAUUCAUUACAAAAAUUAUAAUUAAAUUUUAUUGUAAAAAAAGUAUAAUUAAAUUUUAUUGUAUAAAAAGUAAUUAAAUUAAUUUAGUUAUAAUGACAAAUAAAAAAAUCAUAUCAGGAAAAAAUGCUGAUGUCAUCAAUAGUACACAUGGCAUCUGAGGUGGCAUCUUAGUUGGCAAAAAUGAAAUAAAAAAGUCAAACUUAAUAGACACAUCAUCUUGAUUGUUAAAAAUUAUUGGUCAAUGUUGGUCAAGGGUCAUUUUACUGAAUUUUGACAGUUCAAGUACUCAAUUGAGUGAAAAAAAAUCGAGACUUAAUUUUUUUUAAUUCAAGAACUUUCUUCUUUCUUAAGCCAUAAAAAUUAAUCACUAUAUUAUAUUAAAAUAAAAUUAUGCUUUCUAUAAAAAGAAAGUUAAAGAUUUUAAUUAUUCAAUAAAUUGUAAUACACAAUAAUAUUAAUUAUGAGGAAGGCUAGAGAGAUGGUAAAAACAAUUAGCCAUAAAGAAACCAUAAUAAACUUAAACAAAUUUAAAGAAAUAAAUAAAAUAAAAACAUGUAAAAAAAUAAAAUUAAAAAUAGAACUUCCUAAAAAAAUAAAAAUAAAAUUUGAAUCUAAAAUGAAAGCUAAUAAUAUUGCAAAAACAAUUUAACAUUCCCAAUCUUGAUAUUCUUCAAUAUAUCUUCCUCCACAUUAUCUUCUUUUGAUUGAGAUCUUUAUUGUUUAAUAAUGCAAUUAAUCAUAUUUUGAUUCAUAUUGCUUCAUUCAACUCCACAAGAAAAAAUAUUGUUAAUAUCAAAUAAAAAAAUAUUAUUAAAUAUAUAAUGCAAUUAAGUGCAUUUUUACUCUUGUUCCUUCAUUCAAAACUUCACAAGAAUUACUAAUAUCAAAUAAUUAAAAUAUUAUUAAAUAUCAAAUAAUAAAAUAAUCAAAAUUAAAAUAAUAAAAUUGGAUAUAUAAGAUAAUAAUGAUUUUUGUAAGAAAACAAAAUUUAUUUGUAAAAAUAGAAUGUCGAUAAUGAUAAGAAAGAGAGAGAAAAAUAGAACAUACCGGUUUUAUGUGGAAACUCAAAAUCAUGGGUAGAGAAGAAGAAAAUUCACUAUGUAUGUUGAAUUCGAAUAAUACAAAAGGAGAGAUGACCACGUCCAUUUAUAGGUUUGUAAAAUCAUGUUCUAAUCAAAGUCAAAUAAAAGUAAUGCAAUAAGGUUAAAAUACCUUAUUCUAAUCAAAAGCAAAUAGAGGAAGCAUACUUCUAUACGGAUUUCACUUGUCCGACUUUUGCCCUUGUAGAUCCCCCUAUCUUUUCAUUUGUAUUUUUAUUUAACAAGAAUUUGGGUCACAUAUCUUUAACACUAUCAAAUAACAAUAAAAGCUUUAUAUAUAUAUGUAAAUGUUACUUUUUUUAUAUAUAUAUAAAUGUCUAGAAUUAUUUAUAGUCCCUCCCUACCCUUUAAUAGGAGGAUAAAUGCGCUUCAGUGCACUCAAACACAUGUCCUUUUGAAUAAGCAGCAAUGUUAAUGCCAAUCGAGUUAAGAGUUAGUCAGCUUUAAAUAUUACUUGAAUGAAAAUAUUUUGUUAAUUCAACUAUUAUAUCAUAUCAUAUAGUUUAUAUUACAUUACAUUAUUAUAUGAAAAAAUAUUUAAUAUAUAAAUUAAAGAAUUAAUAAGUAUUCUAUAAAAAUAUAAUAAUUAUAAUGAUGUGACUCACAAUGUAAUUUAUGGUUAAAAAAGACGAGCAGGCCGUACUUUAGCUUCAAACAAUCACCACCAGACGCACACUACCGACGUAAGGAAUGGCUACCACUCGCUCUAUGGAAGGUCCUAGAAUUAUUAUUUUGUUGUCAAUAACGCGUCCAAUGUUAGAACAUGAAAUGGACAUACUACCUCUAAUUUUUGAUAUUAUAUGUUUACUAUAAAGUAACCACCGGAAGUAAACAAAGUCAACUUAUACAUAAACAAGUCUUGAGAUGAAAAUUAAAUUGCACAUUUUUAUAAUAAUAAAAAUAUAAUUUUAUUAUUUAAUAGUUUAUAUUUUAUAAUUCUUGAAGGAUUAAAAUAAAUUUUUAUCAUUUUUAUAACUAUUAAUUUAAAAUAUUAUAAAUUAUAAAAAAUAUUUUAAAAAAAUUCAUUGGGAACUGGAUCCCUUACUAACCUCCUUGAAAUCCUCACUAACAUAAACCUAAUCUAACCAAACUCACCCUAAUAAAACUUAUAAAUAAACCUACACAUAAUUUAGAGUUUUGAGAUACAUGAUUUCCAAAAUCUAUAUCUAUAUCUAUAUCUACUAUUUAUUAAUUAUUUUAUUUAAUUAAUUUCACUUAUCAACCAAAUUGAGCGAAAUUACCCAACAAUAUUUUUAUUUGCAAAAUAAAUUAUAUAAUUAUGUACUUUUAUAAAUUAAUAAAAAUUUAUCCAUAGUACAAUUUGAACCAAAAGAGACUAUGCAUAUUUAACUUUUUUAUUUAUCAUUUAAACUAAAAUUAUUUUUAGUUUUCAUUUGAAACUUUUAUAAAUAUAUUUAUAUUCUAAAAUUUUAUAUAUAUAUAUAUGAAUAAUUCAUAUAAUAAAAUUUUUAAUUUAUAUUAAAUUUAUGAUAUAAUUAAUGAUACAGUCAACCAAACUCCAUUUUACAUAAAAAAUUAUUAAAAUAUAUUACACAAUACAAUGUAUUAUUAAGAAAAAUAUUUUUAUUUUAUUUUUUUACAUUUUAUAUACAAAUUCGAUUUAAUUCGUGAUUCAAUGAAUUCUGAACAUUAAAUUUUAGUAGAAAAAAUUCCACUCCCGUUUCAAUAAAUAUAUUGCUAAAUAAUUUUCUUUCACCUAAACCAUAUUUUGAUCAUUAUUUAGGAUAGUUAGGUAAAAAAACUCUUUUCAAUUUUUCUCGAAUUUAAAAUUUAAUAAAUUAAGAGUAAUUUAAUAUUUGUUAAUUUUGAAAGUGAGCAAUUAAGGAUAAUUAAUUUUAAUUUUAAUUUUUUUAUUAAUUAUACAUGAUUUUGAUUAGUAUAAUAAUAUAUUUAACCUUUAAAGUUUAUAUAUUCUAUCAAUUUAGUCUUAAUUUAACAAAUUUAUCCUGCAACAUUUAUGUUGAGGCUAAAUUAUGUUAAACUUUUUAAAAUUAAGGCCAAAAUGAUAAAAUAUGUAAACAUUAAAUGUUAUAUUUGUUAUUAUAUUAAUCAAAAUUAUAAAAUUGAAAAAUAUAUGAAUUUCAUGAUUAAUUGUUUUUACUUUUAAAAUAGAUGAAAGAUUAAUUACUUCAAAUAUUUUAGAGGAACUAAUUUGUUCCAUUUAAAACAUUGAAGUCAUAGAAAAAUUAAAUAAAAGAAAUAUCAUAUAAAAACCUACCAACCCUUAUCAUUUUCUUUCCUAUAAAUAUACUCUGACACCCCCUUCAGAAUCAGAGGAAUCCAAAAGAAACCCAAGAUUAUAAAUUUAGUAUCGAUUUGAGUAUUUGAAUAGUUUAGAUUACAAGAAUGGCAGGGGAACUAGUAUUGUUGGAUUUCUGGCCAAGUCCAUUUGGGAUGAGAUCCAGGAUUGCUUUGGCUGAGAAAGGGAUACCAUACGAGUACAGAGAAGAAGAUUUGAGGAACAAGAGUGAUUUGCUGCUGCAGAUGAACCCUGUUCACAAGAAAAUC
rnacentral:lncRNA from 1 species